rnacentral:rRNA from 1 species
ACGCUAACGCUGCCUUGCGCGCACCGAUACAUGCAGUCGAGCGAACAGAUAAGGAGCUUGCUCCUUUGACGUUAGCGGCGGACGGGUGAGUAACACGUGGAUAACCUACCUAUAAGACUGGGAUAACUUCGGGAAACCGGAGCUAAUACCGGAUAACAUAUUGAACCGCAUGGUUCAAUAGUGAAAGGCGGCUUUGCUGUCACUUAUAGAUGGAUCCGCGCCGUAUUAGCUAGUUGGUAAGGUAACGGCUUACCAAGGCAACGAUACGUAGCCGACCUGAGAGGGUGAUCGGCCACACUGGAACUGAGACACGGUCCAGACUCCUACGGGAGGCAGCAGUAGGGAAUCUUCCGCAAUGGGCGAAAGCCUGACGGAGCAACGCCGCGUGAGUGAUGAAGGUCUUCGGAUCGUAAAACUCUGUUAUCAGGGAAGAACAAAUGUGUAAGUAACUGUGCACAUCUUGACGGUACCUGAUCAGAAAGCCACGGCUAACUACGUGCCAGCAGCCGCGGUAAUACGUAGGUGGCAAGCGUUAUCCGGAAUUAUUGGGCGUAAAGCGCGCGUAGGCGGUUUUUUAAGUCUGAUGUGAAAGCCCACGGC